rnacentral:rRNA from 1 species
AUUGAACGCUGGCGGCAGGCUUAACACAUGCAAGUCGAGCGGAGCGAGGGUGCUUGCACCUUAGCUUAGCGGCGGACGGGUGAGUAAUGCUUAGGAAUCUGCCUAUUAGUGGGGGACAACAUUCCGAAAGGAAUGCUAAUACCGCAUACGCCCUACGGGGGAAAGCAGGGGAUCUUCGGACCUUGCGCUAAUAGAUGAGCCUAAGUCGGAUUAGCUAGUUGGUGGGGUAAAGGCCUACCAAGGCGACGAUCCGUAGCGGGUCUGAGAGGAUGAUCCGCCACACUGGGACUGAGACACGGCCCAGACUCCUACGGGAGGCAGCAGUGGGGAAUAUUGGACAAUGGGCGGAAGCCUGAUCCAGCCAUGCCGCGUGUGUGAAGAAGGCCUUUUGGUUGUAAAGCACUUUAAGCGAGGAGGAGGCUACUUAGAUUAAUACUCUGGGAUAGUGGACGUUACUCGCAGAAUAAGCACCGGCUAACUCUGUGCCAGCAGCCGCAGUAA